GUCUACAGCCAUACCACCCUGAACAUGGCUGAUCUCAUCUGAUCUCAGAAGCUAAGCAGAGUUGGGCCUGGGUAGUACUUGGAUGGGAGACUACCUGGGAAUACUGGGUGCUGUAGGCU
rnacentral:rRNA from 1 species